rnacentral:rRNA from 1 species
AUUGAACGCUGGCGGAAUGCUUUACACAUGCAAGUCGAACGGUAGAGGGGGCAACCCCUCGAGAGUGGCGAACGGGUGAGUAAUAUAUCGGAACGUGCCCAGUCGUGGGGGAUAACGUAGCGAAAGUUACGCUAAUACCGCAUACGAUCUAAGGAUGAAAGCGGGGGAUCGCAAGAACUCGCGCGAUUGGAGCGGCCGAUAUCAGAUUAGGUAGUUGGUGGGGUAAAGCGUCACCAAGACAAAGAUCUGUAGCUGGUCUGAGAGGACGACCAGCCACACUGGAGAAAGGACACGGAGCAGACUCCUACGGGAGGCAGCGGUGGGGAAUUUUGGACAAUGGACGCAAGUCUGAUCCAGCCAUUCCGCGUGCAGGAUGAAGGCCCUCGGGUUGUAAACUGCUUUUGUACGGAACGAAAAGGUCUCUCUUAAUACGGGGGGCUCAUGACGGUACCGUAAGAAUAAGCACCGGCUAACUACGUGCCAGCAGCCGCAGUAA